rnacentral:rRNA from 1 species
UACGAAGGGGGCUAGCGUUGCUCGGAAUUACUGGGCGUAAAGGGCGCGUAGGCGGUUCUAUAAGUCAGGCGCGAAAUUCCUGGGCUUAACCUGGGGGCUGCGCUUGAGACUGUGGGACUUGAGGUCAGAAGAGGGUCGUGGAAUUCCCAGUGUAGAGGUGAAAUUCGUAGAUAUUGGGAAGAACACCGGUGGCGAAGGCGGCGACCUGGUCUGAUACUGACGCUGAGGCGCGACAGCGUGGGGAGCAAACAGG